UACGGAAUCCUUCGGGAGGAAGUGACUGUGACUGAGUGGCGGACGGGUGAGUAACGCGUGGGUAACCUGCCUCACACAGGGGGACAACAGCUGGAAACGGCUGCUAAUACCGCAUAAGCGCACAGUGCCGCAUGGCACGGUGUGAAAAGAUUCAUCGGUGUGAGAUGGACCCGCGUCUGAUUAGCCAGUUGGCAGGGUAACGGCCUACCAAAGCGACGAUCAGUAGCCGGCUUGAGAGAGUGACCGGCCACAUUGGGACUGAGACACGGCCCAGACUCCUACGGGAGGCAGCAGUGGGGAAUAUUGCACAAUGGGGGAAACCCUGAUGCAGCGACGCCGCGUGAGCGAAGAAGUAUUUCGGUAUGUAAAGCUCUAUCAGCAGGGAAGAUAAUGACGGUACCUGACUAAGAAGCUCCGGCUAAAUACGUGCCAGCAGCCGCGGUAAUACGUAUGGAGCAAGCGUUAUCCGGAUUUACUGGGUGUAAAGGGAGCGUAGGCGGUCCUGCAAGUCUGAUGUGAAAGGCCGGGGCUCAACCCCGGGACUGCAUUGGAAACUGUAGGACUAGAGUGUCGGAGGGGUAAGUGGAAUUCCUAGUGUAGCGGUGAAAUGCGUAGAUAUUAGGAGGAACACCAGUGGCGAAGGCGGCUUACUGGACGAUAACUGACGCUGAGGCUCGAAAGCGUGGGGAG
rnacentral:rRNA from 1 species